UCAGAAAUCUAGGGGUAACCAUCGAUAACCAACUCAAUGGGGGUACACCUAGAUUGUAGUUCAUUGCGUCUCUUGACACAGUUUGGCCAAAUUUUCAUGGUUAAUUAAACCAGGGAAAAUACCUUUUCACAGGGCAUGGAAAAGCCUAACAAGGAAUCAACAAUCAUCCUGAACUCAUUCUAUGACUGCUGAAGAUGUUCAGUUUGAGAUGCACUUUUUUGUGUUGUCAUGGAUAAUUGAUGUACAGAAGGCAACAUAAUUCUCAGGUGGCUGCAGCUAGCAGAUGGGAAGAGGUCACACUGCUGGCUGGUAUUUCUAUUCUGCAGCACCAGUGACCCUUUAUGGACUGUUUGAAAGAGUGAUGAGACAGGUGCAUUCACCGCAGGAAGUCAUGGAGGUCCACAGUAUGAGUGUGAAGUCCCACUGAAAAAGAAUAAACAUCACCCUGUAAAGAUGAAACUCUCUCAGUCAGGGUCCAGUGUCAAGUCAUGCCAAAUCCACUCUUUCAUCCUCACCCAUUCAUCGUAACAGCAUUUAUUGACACAUGGGUUAGUGAACUACCUCUUCCCAUCCUUAGCACUCUCUCAACCCCAUUCUCUUUCUAAUACUCUCUUUUGAACGAGAUCUAUUAAAUGACACAAAGACAGACAGCUCCAGAAUCUAGAUCAUCAAAAGAUACUCAGAUGGUCCAAUCCAAGCUUUCAAAAAAUGGCGGAAAUUUUUUUGGGUGAAAGUGUCUUUGUUUCUUUUCAUGCAAAUAUUUAAUUGAUAAAAGUGCAGAACAUACACAUCUUUAACUGUGUACCUUUGCCUCCAUAAUCAUAUUCAAAACAUAAAAACAUAGCAUCCUUCUCAUAAUAGUUCAGUCUCAACUGUGACAUAUGAGUCGUUGUUAAUAUCCGCAUUUGGGGGCUUGUUUUGUAGGGGAAAAUUCACAACAGUAAUAACAUAACUUUUUCAUCUACUAAAUCCUGAAUGUCAACAAUGUUUGAAGUAUAAAGUAGUUGAAAAAGAAAAAAGUUGUUACACCAUCACUGCAAAAAUAGAUUAUUUUACUAUACUAUAUUCCCACCAUAGUGACGUUUCUAACAACUCGUUUUUUAUCAGACCAUCAAUGUGAAUGUGUGAUGUAUAAUAUAGGCUUAAUACAUAUACUAAAAUAUUUUCCCAUUUUUUCAUAACUUUGUGUCUGCUAUUUCUGGUUAAUAUGAUCUUGCACUUUACAUUUCACCUGCAUCCCUCAACAGUGUGUCAGUAUAAAUGUUAUAUGCUGAAACAGACAUUAGAGGGAUGAAUGCACUCA